rnacentral:tRNA from 1 species
AUUAAAGUGGCAGAAAGAUUUUAAUGCAAGGAAUUUAAGCUUCCUCAAUGAUAAUUUUCCUUUAAUA